AUCCAUUUGACGAGUCCUAAGUAGGACAAAACGCGGGUCCUGGAU
rfam:Schistosoma haematobium scaffold255_12, whole genome shotgun sequence.